rnacentral:rRNA from 1 species
ACAAGCCGGUGGAGCAUGUGGUUUAAUUCGAUGCAACGCGAAAAACCUUACCUACUCUUGACAUCCACGAACUUGCCAGAGAUGGUUAUGGUGCCUUCGGGAACCGUGAGACAGGUGCUGCAUGGCUGUCGUCAGCUCGGUUGUGAAAUGUUGGGUUAAGUCCCGCAACGAGCGCAACCCUUAUCCUUUGUUGCCAGCGGUCCGGCCGGGAACUCAAAGGAGACUGCCAGUGAUAAACUGGAGGAAGGUGGGGAUGACGUCAAGUCAUCAUGGCCCUUACGAGUAGGGCUACACACGUUCUACAAUGGCGCAUACAAAGAGAAGCGAACUCGCGAGAGCAAGCCCGACCUCAUAAAGUGCGUCGUAGUCCGGAUCGGAGUCUGCAACUCGACUCCGUGAAGUCGGAAUCGCUAGUAAUCGUGGAUCAGAAUGCCACGGUGAAUACGUUCCCGGGCCUUGUACACACCGCCCGUCACACCGCGGGAGUGGUUGCAAUAAAGAAGUAGGUAGCUUAACCUUCGGGAGGGCUCUUACCACUUUGUGAUUCAUGAUCUUGGGGGAU